rnacentral:rRNA from 1 species
UACGGAGGGUGCAAGCGUUGUCCGGAAUCACUGGGCGUAAAGGGCGCGUAGGCGGCCCGGCAAGUAGGGGGUGAAAUCCUGCGGCUUAACCGCAGGGCUGCCUUCUAAACUGUCGGGCUCGAGCACGGUAGAGGCAGAUGGAAUUCCCGGUGUAGCGGUGGAAUGCGUAGAGAUCGGGAAGAACAUCAGUGGCGAAGGCGGUCUGCUGGGCCGUUGCUGACGCUGAGGCGCGACAGCGUGGGGAGCAAGCAGG